AAAACAUUUUAUUAAAUGAAUAAAAAGUUUACAAACCUUUUUAAUCAUAUGAGAAGAUGUCCAAAUUUAGUCCAUAUAUUGUAUGGUAAUAAAAUUACAUUAAUGUAGAAUUUUUAACUAUUCUGGAGCUUGUUUUGUAAUGUAGAAUUUUGAUAAAUUGUAUGGUAAUAAGAUUACAUUAAUCUGGUCAUUUCUCUUUACAUAAUCCCUUUAGCAACAAAGUGAACAAGUAAAGGAAGAUGUUUUAUGGUAGCUCUUUUCCACCUGGUCCGAUAUCCCUCCUUCCGACGUCGCCUUAACCAUAACCAUCUGGUUCAUCGAGCCGAACCUCCCAAAACCCAGACGAAACGCAAAAAGCAAGAGAGAGAGAUGAGAAAAUCUAGAGAUCUUCAAGAUCCAGCAGCGAUCGGAGAAAAGUUGGAUCGGAGGAAAAUGAGUCGAUUUGGGUUGCGCCACGUGGGAUAAGACUCGAGUCCAAAAGCUUCUUACCCAACAAGCGGAUGCAUCUUACAAUUCUACUGUUUUCAUUUUUUGGACUUUAAAUAAUGCCAUAAUCCCCUCGAAGAUAUACCGAUAAUUAUGGCCUUACUAGUAACUUCCUGCUUAAUGUUAAAAGUAAACACAAAGCCUAAAAGAUUUCAUAUUAAUUA